GAAGAGCCAGUCUUUGAAAUUGAGGGGGAAACAAGACUGCAAAGCAGCGUCCCCUUUGUAUAUAUUCAACAGAGUUCUCCCUUUGCUGUUGUUCUCCGGGUUCUUUUGCACAAAUUACAUGUUCCUCCUACCCUGGCUUUAAUCAUCACAACCUUGAAUCCUCAUCAAACUCUCUGCCUAUCUCAAACCAGUGCUUAAAGGACACUCUUACCCUUAGAAGAAAUGGUAUAAUUUUCAUAAACAUGGGUCAUUUCCCCCUUGCAUAAAUGUCAGAUACAAAACCGCCACUUAACAAGAUGUGCCAGAAAUACAGAAUGUCUGAACAAAGGCUGUUGACAAUAGCAUCUUUUUUCCUUUUUUGUAGUUCUGUGAAAUUGCUCUCCCAAAAUAUUCCUAAUGCUUUAUUUACUUCAGUGUUGGGUUUAUUUUGGGAUAAACUUUCCUGAAGCUGAAUCUUAGGAUGUGAUUCUUAUCCUGGUCACAUCCUGGGGAGUUGUUUUGUGACUUUUUUGAAUGGGCCCUGGCUCUUCCAGGGAGCCCCUGGUGCUGAGGAAGAGGCAGGGGCCAGAGGAUGUCAACUCCCGUGUGCGGAACACAGACAGAGAUGACGAACCAUCAGCUUCGGUGGAAAUACUCCCCAAAGGAGAGCCUGCGCCGCCUGGUCUCCAACAAUGGCAGAAGUGAACCCAGCUCAGACUUUAUCAAUGAUCUGUUCCGGAGAGUGGUGUGUCUCAUAGUUUCCAACAUCUGAGUGAUUUGUGACUAUUAGGAAUUCAGACACUGGAUGAUUAAAACCGCUGGUGCUGGGAAUUUUCUCAUUUCAGGAAAUUUUGGUUGUGAGGCAUGCUGGAACCUUACCAGCCAGCAGACACGAAGGGGAGGAAGUCCAGGCAGGGCCAGGAAUGAGACUGUGGGAAUUGACCAGAAGGCGGCACCACGGCUUAGCUUUCAUGUCAGACAGAUCUGCGUGGGCACCCUGCUUCCCUGAGCCUCAGUUUCUUUGCUAGCAGAGUGGAGGUGAUGAGAGUUGAAUUAAAGAAUGUCAUGCCUGGCACGCAGUAAGGGCUCCAGAUGGGAGUUCUCCUCUCUUUUCUUUCCCUGAGUGGCUAGAAGUCUAAUGAGUGUCUUAAGGGUGAGGUGAACUGAGGUUUUGUCUAGCCUAUGGUUGGUCUGACUUGAGGGAAAGAUGGUCUUCAGUGAGAAUCUAAGCUAGAGCUUGGAGUUCAAGAGACUCGGCCUAGCUCUGAGAGAUGAGGGACAAGGGCUGGCCAAAGAAAGAUUGUCCAGAUCCCAAGGCCUCUGGGCUCAGGGUUGGGCUUUAAUCUGAACUUUGAUCAGUGAGGAAGCUGACAUAGCCCCAGGUUUAUCCUGGAUUAUAUAGUAUAGAGCCAUGGUUCUCAGCGUGGCCUGAGGACCCUGGAGGAACCUGAGGUACUUUUAGAGGUUCAUGAGAUCAGAACUAUUUUUAUAAUGCUACUAAGAUGUAAUUUUCCCUUUUCAUUGGUUGAUGUUUAAACUGAUGGUGUAAAAGCAACAGUGGUAAACAGCUGGUGCUUUAGUUUGGAUCAAGGUAGUGGUAGCAAACUGCAGUAGUUAUCAUUGUAUUAUUCACCACCACAUGUGCACGGUAGGAAGAAAAAAGUCAGUUUCACUUAAUGUCCU
rnacentral:lncRNA from 1 species